AUGGGUUCUAUCUCCGACGACGAGGCGGCUUGCAUCUACGCGAUGCAGCUGGCAGCGGCAGCUGUCUUGCCGAUGACGCUCAAGAACGCCAUCGAGCUGGGCAUGAUCGAGAUCCUCGUUGGCGCUGGCGGGAAGAUGCUUUCGCCGUCUGAGGUGGCCGCCCAGCUGCCGUCGACGGCCAACGCGGAAGCACCGGCCAUCGUCGACCGCAUGCUGCGGCUGCUGGCAUCGCACAACGUUGUGUCGUGCGAGGUGGAGGAAGGUAAGGACGGCCGCCUCGCACGCCGGUACGGCACCGCGCCGGUGUGCAAGUGGCUCAGCCCCGACGAGGACGGCGUGUCCUUGGCCCCGAUGGUCCUCUUGAACGACAAGGUCAUGCUGGAGAGCUGGUACCAUUUGAAGGACACUGUCCUUAACGGUGGCCUGCCAUUCGAAAAAGCGUACGGAAUGACAGCGUUUGAUUACCAAGGAACGGACCCGCGCUUUAAUCGCGUCUUCAAUGAGGCCAUGAAGACCCACUCCAUGAUCAUCACCAAGAAGCUCCUGGAGUUCUACAAGGGCUUCGAUGGUGUGGGCACCCUCGUGGACGUCGGUGGCGGUGUGGGCGCCACCAUCCACACCAUCCUUUGCAGGUACCCAAGCAUCGAGGGGGUCAACUUCGACCUCCCUCACGUCAUCUCCGAGGCACCAUCCUUUGCAGGUGUGCACCACAUAGGUGGUGACAUGUUCAAGAAGGUUCCCUCUGGGGACGCAAUCCUCAUGAAGUGGAUACUCCACGACUGGAACGAUGAGCAUUGCACAACGCUGCUGAGCAACUGCUACGAUGCACUACCCGCGCAUGGCAAGGUGGUCAUAGUGGAAUACAUCCUGCCAGUGAAGCCCGACGAAACGGCCACAGCACAGAGGUCCUUCGAAGCCGACAUGAUUAUGCUCACACACACACCCGGCGGCAAGGAGAGGUACCUGAGGGAGUACGAAGAGCUCGCCAGGAGCGCCGGGUUUGCCAGCGUCAAGGCCACCUACGUCUACAGCAACAUAUGGGUCAUUGAGUUGAACAAAUAG
rnacentral:rRNA from 1 species